GAUGAACGCUGGCGGCGUGCCUAAUACAUGCAAGUCGAGCGAACGGACGAGAAGCUUGCUUCUCUGAUGUUAGCGGCGGACGGGUGAGUAACACGUGGAUAACCUACCUAUAAGACUGGGAUAACUUCGGGAAACCGUAGCUAAUACCGGAUAAUAUUUUGAACCGCAUGGUUCAAAAGUGAAAGACGGUCUUGCUGUCACUUAUAGAUGGAUCCGCGCUGCAUUAGCUAGUUGGUAAGGUAACGGCUUACCAAGGCAACGAUGCAUAGCCGACCUGAGAGGGUGAUCGGCCACACUGGAACUGAGACACGGUCCAGACUCCUACGGGAGGCAGCAGUAGGGAAUCUUCCGCAAUAGGCGAAAGCCUGACGGAGCAACGCCGCGUGAGUGAUGAAGGUCUUCGGAUCGUAAAACACUGUUAUUAGGGAAGAACAUAUGUGUAAGUAACUGUGCACAUCUUGACGGUACCUAAUCAGAAAGCCACGGCUAACUACGUG
rnacentral:rRNA from 1 species